UUUUUUUUUUUUUUUUUUUUUUUUUCAUUUUCUGUGGUCAGUAGCAAGUCAUUGAUUUUGUACAGGCAUCAUCUGGAUUUCCUGAAAGUACUGCAGGACCCAAAUGUUUUCUUGGCUGUGAUGCUGCAGGCAGCUGCCUGUGCUUAUAACUGAUUCUGUUCCUGACAGCUUUAAAUAAUUGCUGUUUGCUUGCCUGCAAGCCUUCACUGAAACUGAAAUUUUUGCACAAGCCCAGAUAUAUCAGGAAAAAUGUGGACAAAGGAUAUGAAGAAAGCAAUUUAUUCAUCGCUAACAGUCUAUGAGUGCCUAACAAUUUUUCAGUGGCUGGUCAAUUGUGAACAGGGGCAGUGGCAGUUUCAUAAUGUGAGAUUUGGGGUCAGAAUGUCUACAGGACCUGUAGACCUCCUAUUUGUUUUUCAGAAGUAUGUCUGCACUCAAAUAGACAACCAAUGAAUAGUUUAUAUUUCUUUUUCUGUUAGGAGUUUGCAUUCAGGUUAUUAUUUAUACAAUGCUCAUCUAAAGUGUAGCAGAACUAACUGACAGGUGGUAGUUUUGACUGGAAUGAAGUAGAUUUGAUUUCAACUAACCAUAAACUUAAACAGGGGCUUUUCAGGAUUCCUCACCUGGAUGAAACUUUUUGUGAGUGAUUUUUCUUCUUAAUUUCUUUUUUAAAUGAAUUGUCAAUAGCUCAAAUUAUUUAUAAAUGACAUUCAUAUUUGGCAAGGACUGCUGACUUAAAAAUAAUAAUGGAAUAUAUCUGAUUGGAGGGGAUCCAUGAGGCUUGUUGAGUCCAACACCCUGCUUCUCACAGGGCUACCUAAAGUAAAUCAUAUGACUAGGAGCAGCAUCCAUUCUUUGAACUCUGACAGGCUUGGUACUUUGGUCAUAGAAUCACAGAAUCAUAGAGUGCUAAGGGUUUGAAAAGGACCUUAAGGACCAUCUAGUUCCAACAUCCCCUGCCAUGGACAGAGACAACUUCUGCUAGACCAGAGGUUGCCCCAAGGCCUUAUCCAAACUGGAUUGGAACUCUAUAGCCUCCCUGGCCUUACCACCCCCACAGUAAAAAAACUUCCUCCUAGUAUCUAAACUUUAAUUUCCCCUCUUUCAAUUUGUAGAUUUCAAUUUCUUCUCUGAAUACUUAUGGGAAAACAUAAAGGCGUUUUACAUAUAUCUCUGGACUAGGCAGUAGCUGGCUCUUAGUUUUCUGUUUGGGGGAAUAGAGAUGCAUGUAUCUGCUUGUUUUGUGCAUGGUACUGACCAAGAUACCAAGUGACUGGUGCAGGUUUCCAUUCCAGCUGCAUUCUGAAAUUUGAAUUUUCAAUCAUCUCCUCCUCUCUAGGUUAAUCAAUCAAAAUUAACUGAAUUCUGUCAACUGCUCUACUCUUUCUCCAAGUAAAGAAAAAUGCAGUAAUGCCUGACUCAUGCUUGUGUACUAUGUUUUUCUAAAUAGGUGUAAAUUUUUAUAUUUUUUGGCUUUGUUUUCUGGCUAUGCAUCAGAUACCCAAGAACUUUCUGGAAGAAAACACUUAUAAAUUUUUCACAGGAAUCUCUCUGGUUCUAAUAUAAUAGACUUGUACUGAGUCUUGAUUAAGUCCUAAAUCAAACUCACAAAGGGUGCUGCUCACCCAAAUGACAGUGAAAUAAUUUUUCCAUGGCUACAGCUAAAGGAGUUUAUAGUAUAAUGUAAGGACAGAUAGACAGUGGCAGAGGCAGACUCUAAAGAAGACACACAGAAAGGUGGGCAUAAUGGUGUUCGGACAUGUUUUUAAAGGAUCCAAAUAAAUUUAGGCUUAUAAAUAUGCCAGAGAGUUAUAUCUUUCUCAUGGAAGUUAAUAAUUAGUUUGAGUGUUGGAAAAUGAAAUUCUCAUUCAAUUAUCGUAGCAUAAAACUAUUUUCACUGUAGUUGGGAAGUGCUGACUGUGCACUGAGGGGACAGUGCAAAGUCAGUCUCUGCUCUGUUGCUGCUGUUUCUUUUACACCUGAAAACUGUGUCAUGGGGAACCCCUGGAGCUUGUUCUUCAGAAAACGACUCUGAAUUAGAUUCCUCCCUGUGCCAGCAGACAUCCUUUCAACCAAGGAAAAUAUUCUGCUGUCCUUGAACUGUUAACCUAUGAGAUGGAAUAGCCAGCUCAGUGUGUUUGCCUAAGUCCACUUCUCAAGAGUCAGGGGCUGUUUGCUGACCUCCUGGCCAGGAAAACUGCUUCCUAUGUGCUCUCGACCUUAUUUGUUCUCUUUUACUUGCAGCUCUGCUACAACUGAAAUUUUCCACGAGUUUAGCUCUGAAUCACCUGAAUACACAAACCUUUCUAGUCAUAGUUCACAGGGAAGGUCAACACUAUAACUGAAAAUAAAUUAAUUUGGCAGAGAUGUCUGUGUCUCUGCUGUGCUGCCCUGGUGGGAGUCAGGGGUGGGUGACUGUGUUUCAUUAAAAGAGGUUCCUCCCCAAACUGGAUUUGUUAGUGAAACUCUAACUAUGAUGCUGUGCUUGUCAUCUAGGUAGCAAGUGGGUAUUUCUGUAGAAGCUUGGUAACAACAAUCACAUCUGUACAGCUGUGGAUGCUUUCUAUGCAUAGUGUUUAUUUGAUUGAGGUUUUUUUUAGACUUGUCUUCCCCUGUACAUCUGUAUCAAUAAUUUUUUUUAUAUUAUAUUUGGUAAACUCAGACCUAUCAAAUGAGGGGCAAAAAUUUAUUUGGGGUAAGUUUGUUCUAACACUCAAUAUGCUAUUGGGAAAUAUGUCAUCUAAGUGUCUCCGUUUGUAAACAGCCUGUCUUUAGCUGAAAAAUGGGUUUCAUGGAGAAAGCUAGAGAAUGAACAUGGAAAAGCAGAAUAGAAAAAUCCUGGAAAAUAAGAAGCAGUAUUGCUUUUCCUUUCAUUGCUGUUGUCUGCUUCUGGGAAUUAGAUUAAGUAAACCUAGAAGACAGGACAGGAGAAAGAAAAGACAUCCAAAAUUCAUACUUGCAUUAAUGGAACAAUACCCUGAAAGGGAAAUCAUGCCAGAAGUUGCAUCUGUGCCUUUUGCAAGAUGAUGAUAAAAAAGCAAAAGAAAUCUCUCCAUUUUCAAGAUAGCUUCAAAAAGAAAGCAACCAGACAUGGAACUACGUCCCACACGUCAUUGCCAGCAGCUCUUGCAUGUGAUGUCCUUGGAUGCCCUAAAGAUUAGCCAGUCUCAUCCAUCUGGCCCAUGUCACAGGGAUCAAAGGCAUUUUUCCCUCUACAAACUUAAGCUCAUGCUCUCUGAAAGUGAAGAGAACAAAUUUCAAGUUAGAGUCUGAGAAGAUUAAUAGGGACAUCUGACUCUUGUGGGGGCAACAGUCCUCUCAUGUGGCAAUGCAUUAUGAGCAACAAAAAAGAGUUCAACUUCAGCUAUCAGCCUGCACCCUAGGACCAUUACUGACCACUACUGAUGCAUCACUUGCACCGUGGCACAUUUUGAUGUCCAGGAGAACUCAAUACUUCUGCCAUAAAGAAUGUGGACAUGAAGACCAGCUUGUAUAUUUCUGUCCCUGAAUGCCUUCCACUUGAGGAAAAACCUGUGUGCUUUUCGAAAAGGUCCCGAAACCUAAUUUAAAAGCAUCACCAGCAGGAAAAACCCAUCACGAAGUGGGAGAAAAUCUUGAACAUUAUUAAUUUGAAUCAUGGAGCUGUAUAGAAACAGAUAUUGAUACAAUGCGGCUAACGUGUGACAGAGUACCAAAUGGACGUCCUUUGAGAAGUCAGUUCUAACUUCCCUAAGUCAUCAGUUCUCUCUUAGUAGGCCAUAUUUUUUAGGGAAUAGCUCAACAUGUGUAUCAGUCCUAAAUUCUUUUAAGCUGCAUAUUUCUUUUGGAGUGAAAAUCUGAGACAGUGUAGCCCAUGAAUUGCUGUGAAGACAUCGAAGCCACAUUCCUCACUUUUAAGGGACUGGUGUGGUGGCAUACAGGAGCCUAAUGUUCCAUGCAAUUUGUGAUUUUCCACUUUCCUGAAGAAAUAAUUCUGUUUGUAGUUUUAUGAACUUGCAGUCUUGAAUACACAGUACUGCAAGUCACAAUUUUAUCUAUAGGCUGUUCCAUCUUGAAUGAAGAAAUACUAUAUGUUGUUAAAACCCUGAUCUCCAAGAGUUUGUAAAAAAAAUUAAUGAUGUCUGACUUAAAAUGUAAUUUUUAAAAGUUGAACAUUUAUUAUUAAAACUUCUUUCAAAAAAAAAAAAAAAAA
ensembl:lncRNA